GUGUCGCCUUCUGUACGUAUACUGAAUGUAUCCUGAGUGCAUCAUUCUUUCCGGUAUACCUUCAGUAUACGUAACAGAGGAUGACAC
rnacentral:pre_miRNA from 12 species